rnacentral:rRNA from 1 species
UCAAAGGAAUUGACGGGGACCCGCACAAGCGGUGGAUGAUGUGGAUUAAUUCGAUGCAACGCGAAAAACCUUACCUACCCUUGACAUGGCUGGAAUCCCCGAGAGAUUGGGGAGUGCUCGAAAGAGAACCAGUACACAGGUGCUGCAUGGCUGUCGUCAGCUCGUGUCGUGAGAUGUUGGGUUAAGUCCCGCAACGAGCGCAACCCUUGUCAUUAGUUGCUACGAAAGGGCACUCUA